UACGGAGGAUCCAGCGUAUCGAUUCGAUUGGUUUGUAAAGGGUGCGUAGGCGGCCUGUUAAGUCAGGGGUGAAAGACGGUAGCUCAACUAUCGCAGUGCCCUUGAUACUGAUGGGCUUGAAUACACUAGAGGUAGGCGGAAUGUGACAAGUAGCGGUGAAAUGCAUAGAUAUGUCACAGAACACCGAUUGCGAAGGCAGCUUACUAUGGUGUCAUUGACGCUGAGGCGCGAAAGCGUGGGGAGCAAACAGG
rnacentral:rRNA from 1 species